UGUGCAGGAAGUUCGCGUGAAUCAGCGUCUAGGUCUCCUUUACGUGAGUCAGCUGCCAGCGAUGGUUCUGGUUAAAGGGAAAACCUCCUGGACCGCUUCGCCCCUGUGAGGAAUCCUGCAGAGGCUGUACCAGCUCGGACCCAGAAGCAGAUUGCGACCCUGGCGAGACCAGAGCAGUUGUAGAGUUUCUUCUUCAUCUCCAGAGCUCUGUCGCUUGACCCAGGAAAACGAAGGCGCUGUUCUAAAUGAUACGUGUUAAAUAGUCCUAAGACCAGCUGUUUUCUUCAUGGAACAUACGUGAUAUGGUUUAAGGUUAACUCAGAGAAAGAGAUCAUAUGAACCUCAUGGAACUUCCCAGCAAGUGGGCUCAACCCCACUGAAAUCAGUACCUUGAGAAAAGGCUGCAUUAGCACCUGUAAAUAUGCUCUGGCUUUAGGCUGAAUUCUCCUUUCCAGAGAAGCAAUGGCAGAUGAAAGUAAUAUCUCAUCUAUGUAACUUGUAGGCACUUCACACAGAAUACCUCUGUUUCUGUUGACCACAGAGCGCCAAGUCAGUGAAGCACUGUUCUUGGUGCUGGUUCCUGCCCACGAAAGCCACGGACCCAGAGGUUAAUCUGAAGGGCUUCCCUAGGUCGGGGUUCUUCAGUGGCCACCUGUGCGCUCCACACAUUACUUGGGUAAGGAAGAAGAAAACACUAUGAAGGUGGAUUUGCUGCCCAGAGAACCUUCUUUUGUUUGUGUUCCCAGUGCCACCUGAACACAGUAAAACUUUCGGCUGUGCACCAUAAAAUUUGGGGCAAAAGCAGUAGAAAAGACACAGGGCAUUUUGGGGAGUAGUUAAAUAGAUGAUGAGAGCCAUCCUGUUUGAAACUCAACCAAAUUGAAUGUCAUCAAACUUCUUUUGGUCUCCUAAGUCCAAAAUGAAAUUUCUUCAACCACAUAGAUGGUCAGAUUAGCCAUGGAGGGGUUAGAUACUGUUUAGAUAGAUAGGCUCAAUUGUUGGGACACAGAUGUGAGCCUGUUCCACCUUGUCUGAAGGCCAGAGAGUCUGAGCUUAAUUUUUGCUCUUUCAAAGUUGUUAACAGGUGUAGCCUGACCUAGGGUGUGGUUACUUGGUGUUUUGGACAUUAAGAUGACCGUUAGAGGUGGAUCUGCUCCAUCCUGACCAAAGGUCAGAGAAUUCAAGCAUACUCCUGUAGUCCUUCAUUUAAAAUAGGAGGGUUGGCAUAGGGAGUGACUGCCUACAGGAUACUUGGUCUAGGGUGUGUUCAUUGCUACAAGCAUCAAAUGCUUUACUCAGGAAAUAGUGACUUGAUGUCUCAAGUAUUGAAGCAAGUAACUGUUCUGGUUGUCCUUUGUGUCAUGUUAAAGCAGUCUUUUUCUUUCUUUCCCCCUUUUCUAUUGAGUUAUAAAAGCGUAUGAAAAAUAAACACGG